ensembl:lncRNA
CACAGAGACCAAAAGAUGAGUUCCCGGGGCAGAAUUUCUGCUGCUCUGACUGCUGUGAAAUUCUUCGAUGCCAGACACAGACCCCAUAUUGGACUGUAUAAGACAAAACUGGUGGGGUUGACCACUUCAGAGUUUGGAGUCUUAAGAGUGGAACUAGAAAUCAGUGAUUAAAAGAUGAGAAAAAUCCCUUUGUUCUUGAACUGAUAUGGAUGUGCUUCAUAUUAUUAUAGUGGAUCAGCAUGUGCCAGAAGAAGGACGACAUCUUUAAACCUCAAAACUUGUGUAAGACAUCCAGCGUCUACAGGGAGCUUCUGCAUUUGUUUUCCUUCCAUGAUUGUAGUGGCAUCACCAAGCACAGUUCAAUAAAAUAGGACUAGCAACAGACUCUGGAACAUAAAUGGACUGUUGAGAGUCCCUUGGACAGCAAGGAGAUCAAACCAGUCAAUCCUAAAGGAAAUCAGUCCUGAAUAUUCACUGGGAGGACUGAUAAUGAAAUUGAAGCUCCAAUACUUUGGCCACCUGAUGUGAAAGAGCCGACUCACUGGAAAGGGCCCUGAUGCUGGGAAAGAUUGAAGGCAGGAGGAGAAGGGGAUGACAGAGGAUGAAAUAGUUGGAUGGCAUCACUGACUCAAUGGACAUGAGUUUGAGCAAACUCUCGG